UACAGAGACUGCAAGCGUUAUUCGGAUUCACUGGGCGUAAAGGGUGCGCAGGCGGUUGGGUGUGUCAGAUGUGAAAUCCCGAGGCUCAACCUCGGAACUGCGUCUGAAACUACUCGACUAGAGUACUGGAGAGGGUAACGGAAUUCACGGUGUAGCAGUGAAAUGCGUAGAUAUCGUGAGGAACACCAGAGGCGAAGGCGGUUACCUGGACAGUUACUGACGCUCAGGCACGAAAGCGUGGGGAGCAAACAGG
rnacentral:rRNA from 1 species